UAGGGAAUCUUCGGCAAUGGACGAAAGCCUGACCGAGCAACGCCGCGUGAGUGAAGAAGGUUUUCGGAUCGUAAAACUCUGUUGUUAGAGAAGAACAAGGACGUUAGUAACUGAACGUCCCCUGACGGUAUCUAACCAGAAAGCCACGGCUAACUACGUGCCAGCAGCCGCGGUAAUACGUAGGUGGCAAGCGUUGUCCGGAUUUAUUGGGCGUAAAGCGAGCGCAGGCGGUUUCUUAAGUCUGAUGUGAAAGCCCCCGGCUCAACCGGGGAGGGUCAUUGGAAACUGGGAGACUUGAGUGGAGAAGAGGAGAGUGGAAUUCCAUGUGUAGCGGUGAAAUGCGUAGAUAUAUGGAGGAACACCAGUGGCGAAGGCGGCUCUCUGGUCUGUAACUGACGCUGAGGCUCGAAAGCGUGGGGAGCAAACAGG
rnacentral:rRNA from 1 species